GCCAGCGCAUGCGCAGCUGCUCGCCCGCCUCCCCGCCGCAGGCCGGAGGGUCCCGCGGAGCCCCGCCCCCCCCCGGCGCCACAGCGCGCGCGGCCUCCGCCAGGAGAGCCGGCAGCUCCGGACGGCUGCGGCCCCCCCCGCGCCCCUCCCGCCCCGGCCCCGCCGCCGCCGCACCCCCGCUAGGUGAGCAGGCGCGGCAAGGGGGCGCGGGGGGAAGGGAGAGGGAUGGAGACGCCUCUCCGCCGCCGUAUCUCCUCAGACGGAGCGGAGGGCUGCGGACCGGCGGGGCCGGAGGGGAAGAGGCGAGCGCCUCCACACCCCACCCCCCAGCCGCCAAUCUUGCGGCGCGGGCUGCCUUCCUGAGGCGGCGCCGGCAGUGCCCGGCUGGGGUCUCACCUGACCGGGUCCCGGGGGAAGCGGAAGAAGGCCAGGAAGAAGUUUGCCUUAUGGCCUGGAUGGAUAAUGACAGGAGCCACUUCCGUUUUAAGUAGAAGUCAAACAGGGAGUGUACCGAGCAUGAGGGCUUUGUCAGGCUAAAAAUGAAACAAAAGCUUAGAAAAAAGAAACAGGAAAAAUAAAACUGGAUAGCUGGAAGAAGAAAAAUAUUUAUUCACCAAAUGUGGCCUGCUAGUAGUUUGAGGGAGUAGAUACAGUAGCUGUGAAACAUAUAAAUUCUGAUGGCAAAUGGUAAUUGUUUCAGGUUGGGCUUUAGGAAGCGUAAUUCAAACAUAUUAGCCAAAGUCUGUGUCUUUUCAAAAAAGCACAUAAAGGAAAAACAAACAAAAAAAAAGGUACUCGAUUCCUUUUGGCUAACUUUGAAACUUCGAUCCUUUUUUGUUUGGUAUGAGUUGGACAAAUUCUGUCUUUUACAUGAGGAAGCCUUGCCGUCAGGUGCCCUUCAGACUCGAGGCAUGUGUCUGUCAGUGGACUAAUUGCAAUAACUUCAAUUUAUUUGGUGGUAUUUCUUUGCUAGAAUUCUAACUCUGGCAUUCCUUUUAAGUAGUUUUGAGUAGUUGUUUACGCCAGUGCUAAACAUAAGCUUAGCUGAACCUGACUGCUUUCACUUCACUGGGUGAUCACCAAUGUUCUUCUACAGUGAACUGUAUACAGGAGUUAAUCAGAUCAGGAAACUUUUUUUAAAUAGGGUCAUUUAGCUUUAGGUUAGAUUCAAUUCAGGUAACUGCCAUCUGAUUUGCUAUGCGGAUUGCAUAAAUGUUCAUGCUGACACAAGGGAACACAGAGCAGGAUUAUGUUCAAUCGCAGUAAUAGCUUAGGAGCAUAUUGUAUAAUGUUAGUGUGAAAUUUAAAACACUUAAAACAGGUUUCACUAGGCAAAAAAUACUUCUUCAGCAUGAAAUAGUAAGAAAAUUGUCUUUUGCUCAAGACUGAAGGGCCUUUUCUCCUCCAGAUUGAUUCACCAAAUAAAAGUGUGUGCAUACUGAAACUCCUUAGGGUUCUGAACAGCCAGACAAGAAUGUUACAGUGGCAAUAUUAAAAAGAAAUUAACCAACAUAUUUCUGAACUGCUAGUUCUGACAGAAGCAUCUAUUGGUAUGCAUCAUUUCAAUCAUUAUACAAGGAUGUUAUGGCUGUUAUCUUCAAAUGUGUAUGUAGUUACGUAUGAGCUUUCCUAAUGAGCUGAAUGCAAUGGCUUGUCCAGAAAGUUAACUUACUAAAUUCUGCGGGGUGAUGUUUUCUAUGGGGAGACUAAUUUUUAAGAGAUCCCCAUAUAAUGGAAAGAAAAUGAAUGUGAUUAUUUUCAAAACCUAACAAUGUUACCAGUAGCCCAUUAUUUUAAAAGAAAAUUGGUUUACAUUACUACUUAGUUGGAAAAUUCCAAAAUUAGCUUUUGUUGUUGAGUACAGGAAAUCACCAAACCCUUUGAUUUUUCUGGCAGAGUAGCCUUUGUAGUGUACAUGUAUAAUUUCUUUCCUGGUGAUUUUGUGUGUUAAGUGAUCCUCCAGAUCAUUGAAGUAUUGUUCACAGUGUGUUUCUAAGUGUGUCUGUCUGUUGACAUUGAAUGGACAUUAUAUACUGUAUUAGUACUGUUGUACAUCUGUAUUCUCUGGAUAAACUAUUAAAGGAAUUUUGUGUUUGUGUGGA